ACCGCCACUCACCCUAGCCGCCUUUCGCCCGUUCGAGGAAAAAAAAAAGAGAAAUAAAGAAAGAAAGAAAAGGGAAAAAGAAAGGGAAAAGCGAAGAGGGAAAAGAAAGGAAAAAAAGGGGGAAGCUAGGAGCAGAGAGCAAGAGAGGAGAAAGGGAGAAGAGGGAGAUCGGAGGGGAGAGGGAGGCCUUGUCAGCUCGCCGUCGUCGCACCGUUGCGUCUGCCACUGUUCCAUUGAGAGGAGAAGGCUCGUGAGAGAAGGAAAGCGUCUGCGUUCACAUCGCCAUUCCUCACCAUUUCUGCCACCAUCGAAGCUGCGAUCCCUCGCCAUUAAGAAUCGCGUCUGGUCAAGGUCGUCAUCGUCGUCAUCGUCGUCACGCUUACCAGAACCGAGGCAGAGGGCAGCACCGAGAGGAAGAGAGGUCACCAUCCUUGUCAUGUGUGCUUGCUGAGAGGAAGCCCAUGGUCACCAUCGCGCCUUGCGCUGCCAGCUUCGUCGCACCGCCGUUGUUGAGUUCGUUGUCGUGCUUCGUCUCCGUCGCUGCUAUGGUCGCCGGUGAGAUGCAUGAGGUUGCUGUUGCGGGAGUCACUACCGGAGGAGGAGGAGAAGGCUGUAUCACCGUGAUUCUAGCCCCCAGAAACAAUUCUGUAGCCACUGGAACCAUUGCCAAAGCUUCUACAGUUUGGUUCAGUCAUUACUCCUUUGUUACGAGUCGAGUUCUAGCUAUUGCGAGUCACGAUUGAAGUCGCUGCUGCUGCGGGCUAGGAGGAAAAAGAGUUUUAUCGCGUAGUUAAGUCGUGAUCGAGAAAGAGUUUAAUAUCCAUCGUCGUACCCAUCGCCGGUAUCUGUUAUAGUCGUCGUUGGAAGGAAGAAGAAGUCUCUGUCCCCGCAGCGAGCCCUUGUCCUGGAGCCCGUUCUCUCUCUACCCGAGGCCUAGUCAUUCCUUUCUCGCCGUCAAUACCAAUCGUCUUGCAGCGGGUAAGGACCACUGGUUCCCCCUGUGUGUUGCUGAUUUGCUUAUUGAAAGUGAAGCCAUUAAUGAGCUUAUAGUUGACAUGCAAGCUUUUUUGAUCUUGUUAGCUGAGUUAAUUUGUUAAUGGGGAGUAGGAUUUAUUAAUGGGAAAUUCUGAGUUGCGGUUUAAUGGUAUAUUUGAAGGCGUUUUUAAUUGAGUUAAUGGGGGAGUAGGAUAGGUUUGCUGGGCAAAUGUUGUUGCCAUUCAUUGUUGGUGAGAAUUGCUUAAUCCUAAAUUUUGUUGCCAAUUAUGGUUGCCUGUUAAUGACAUGCAUGUAUGUCUCUAUUUAUGUAGAAAUAAUUUCUAUUAAGUUAUCUAUUAAAAUAUUUGAAAAGAGAACAAACAAAAAAAAACUGAAAAAAGUUGAAAAAUAAUUGAUCAUAUAGUUAAUUAAUUUUUUUCCAUAUAAAUAGAAGGGUACAGGGACAUCUUCCGUUAUCAAUAACUCUUAAGUUUAUCCUAUUUACAAGGAAAGGACUUUAUAUCUCUUAAUUACCAUUUUCCCUUAUCUUCACUUGUUAGGUGUUCAGAAACAAAUGGAUCUAAAUUCAAUUUCUUUAAUCUUUUUAGAUUUGGUUUUAAUUUGUCUGUUAUACAUUGCAUUCAUCAUAUUGUAUCUGCUUUAUUUACUAUUAUUCAUUAUACUCAUCAUUGAUGGUCAUGCAUGAGAAGAAGAGGCAUUUGGGCGUGUUAUUGUCAGAAGAUAGAGAGCACAGAUGAUGACAUGCAUAAAAUUAGAAUAAAUAUGCCAUUUUACUCAAUUAUGCUCUCUAUUCUUUCUGCAUUUGAAUGAAUAUGGUAUUUUAUCCAAUUGUGCAUUCUAUUCUUCUGCCAUCACCCUUAAUUUUAGUCUCUAGUCUUAAACUAUAAAUUAAUUAUUAUCAAUAUGUCAUAAAAGUAAAAGUUUAAUAAAUAUUAACUGGUUUCUAUUUUCAACUCAGUGUAUAUAGAUCUAUUAAUGCAAUUUAUGAUUUUAACAUUUGCCACUUCAUUAAUAUAAAUAAUUGUUAAUAUAUUAGAAAAUUCUGCAUAAAUUAUCUCUUAUCUUUACUUGUAGAAGUUCACAAGCAAAUUGAUCCAAAUUCAUUUGGUUCAUUCUCCUUAAAUUUAGUUAAACUUUGUGUGUUAUGCAUUCUAUUCAUCAUACUAUAUUCAUCAUAUUGUAUCUGCUUUAUUUACUGUUAUGCUUUAUACUCAUCGUUAAUUAUCAUGCAUGAGGAGAUGAGGCAUUUAGGAGUGCUGUUCACAGAAGAUAGAAAGCAUAGAUGAUAACAUGCAUAUAAUUAGAAUGAAUGUGGCAUUUUACUUGAUUGUGCUCUGAUAAACCACUAUUUUAUGGUUUAUAUUGUGUUUAAUUGUGUGGUUUUAUCAUAAUCCUUACCCAUUUAUUCAUUAAUUUAGCAUGCAUUUAUAUUUCUUUCCUGAAAUUAUUACAUGAUUGAAAACUGCUUCCUAGAAACUUUUAAUUAUGCAUUUUAAUUCUCCGUUAUUCCAUUCGAUGCCGUAAUCUGUGUGUUAAGUGCUUCAGGCUUUAUAGGGCAUGAAUGAGUUAGGGAUUGAAAAGGAAGCUAGCAAAAAUGGAAGGAACACGAGAAAUUGAGGAGAUGACCAGCGAGAAGUGACGCGGCCGCAUGACUCACGCGUUCGCAAAAAAGGAGAAAUCGCAGUGAUGCGGCCGCAUAACUCACGCGAUUGCGCGGAAUGGAAAAGCACAAGUGACGCGGAAGCGUGAACGACGCGAACGCGCGGCAAGGAAAAAUGCAAAUGACGCGUCCGCAUGGAUAACGUGAUCGCGUGACGAGCGCGAUCUGCAUAAUCUGCAGAUUUCGCUGGGGGGCCAUUUUGGACCUUAUUUUGACCCAGUUUUUGGCUCAGAAUAGCAUACUAGAGCCAGAGAACAUGCAGAAACCAGAACAACAAUUCAUUCUACACGGUUUUAGUUUUAGAUCUAGUUUUUACUCCUCCUUUAGAUUUUUCUCUCUACACAUUCAUAAUUCUUAGGAUUUUAUUUUUUUCUACCACUUUUUGUAUUGGGAUACUGAGUAGAGUUAUUACCUCAUCAAGACUUCGUCAUUCUAGUUCGUUUUCUUUACUUGGCUUUACUCUUCCAUAUCCUUUGCUUUGUUAAUUUUACCGUUGGAAUAUUUUUAGGAUUAUUUAAUAUAAGGAUUACUUUUAUUUUUAA